AAGGAGAUAUUAAAGGAAAAUACAAACGUGCAACACGGAAGAAAAAAAAGGGGAUUGUGGGUACACAAUCGAGCGUCUCCUGUCCGUGCAGACCUCUUCCUGUCUAUGUGCAAAGCGCUGGGUUGUAUUUUGUUUUGUUUUAUGUACAGUAUGUAAGGGGAUUCCACAGCAUCAGUCACAUAUUUAUUUUGUUUGCCAGACAACUCUGGAAGUGUGUCGUACGUGCAUGAGCUGUGGUUGCUGAAACACAAACACAGUGUCUCCUCGUUGGAAGGAGGUAAAUGUUGGCAGCGGCAGCAACAAACCUGCAAGUUUUGGGGAUUAUGGAAACAAGCCACUCAGACCACAAGACCUGUUGGACAAUGGAAAACAAUGAAUGUUAUGGCCUCGCUCACUUGUUGGCAAGCAGGACUCGUCCCAGAAGCAUGAAGAUCGACCCAGAGAGGAGCUCCAGCGGCACACCAGCUGCAGCCGUCAUGAACGACAAGCCGUAGAGCACCGAGACCUGGAUCUGGGUACACGUCUCCCCUCUCUCCUGGAGGAUGUAGCGCUUCACGUCCACUACUUCCAUCCACAGUACGAAGAGCAGCAACACGAGCAGGAAUAAGCAUGCUGUGGAGAAACAGACAUCAGGCCACCAUUGCUUCGAAAAAAAAAAAAAAAAAAAAAAGAUCAUUCCUGUUUUUGCUCUUGCCAUGGUACCAAUGUUUAUACCCACAGUAAUUGUGACAAGUGAGAUACGCACAUCAGUGUAUGCGGGGUGUGGUUGUCAUGUAACAGGCAUGAACAGCUGACAUCAGUAACGACUGCAACAUUUGGUUCCUCCAAAAAUACACACUGUAUACACAGGGGCUGAAAUAAAUAUUCAACACGUCACCAUAUUUUCCCACUAAAUUGACUUCCCAAAGGUGCUAUUGAUGUGAAAAUUUAACAAGAAGUUGGGGACAUACCAAGUAAUAGAUACAAAAAAGUAAAACAUAGAAGAUCAGAAAUGAUGUUGUGUGUGAAGAUGCGCAAUGACACGGGAAGAAGUAUUGAACACGCCAAAUGGUAUUUAUUUAAUACUGUGUACAAAAUCCUUCGUUUGCAAUGACAACUUCAAGUAUGGAUAAACUAGUCAGAUGCACUCCUCUAAUGUAAUUUUGGCCUAGUCCUCCACACAAGCAGUCUUCAAAUCUUGAAGGUUCUUUUAGGGACAUUGAGUUGGAAUUCUUUACAUAAAUUUCAAAAUGAUUCGAUACGAUUCACGUCAGGUGAUAGGCUGGGCCAUUUUAGGAGAUAUAUUUUUUUAUCCUUUGAAGCCAAUUGAGUUUCCUUGAGAGUAUUUUUGGAAUCAUUAUCCUGCUGAAAUGUCCACCCCUGUUUUAUUUUCAUCUUCUUCCUGAAGGAGAAAACUGUGGACAGUAAGUUGCAGGGUGACCAGCUGGUAGCACAUCUGGCUCACGGUUCUUUACUACUCAGGUUCAAAUCCAGUUCAAAUCCAGAAUCGCCUAUGUGCUGUUUGCAUGUUCUCCCUGUGCCUACGUGGGUUUUCAUGUACUCUGGUUUCCUCCAACUUUCUAAAAGCAUGCAUGGUAGGUUAGAUGAAAACUGUAAAUUGCCCAAAGGUGUGAAUGCAGUGGUGAAUGGUUGUUUGUUUAAAUGUGCUCUGUGAUUGGCUGGUGUCCACUUCUGGGUGUGACCCCACAUCUUUCCCCAAAUAUAAUGGGAUGGGGUCCAGCACAGCCAUGAUAAAUGGUGCAGAUGGAUGUACGGAUGGAUUGUGUACAUAUUUAUUGAUACAAUAGACCAAUUCCGGUCUCAACAUAUCUGAAGAUUAAUUUUUUACCUGCAAUGAUGAGAAAGGCUCCACCCACUUUGUAGAGUUUAUGACUUAUAAAGGGGACACCACAAACCAGGAGGAAGCUUCCAGUUAGAGAUGAGGCCAAUGCGAGGAUCAUAAACACUGUCCAGAAACCUCGAAAGACUGAAAAAAUAUAAGCACAUCAGUAAAAAUCCAAUUUGCAUUGGGCAUGAAUGGGUGUGUGCAUU